UUCAUCGCUCGCGAUGUUUAACUGACAUGAUUGUGGGACGUCCUACCGGUGGGCUUAGCUCCUCACGGGGCGGUCCAGCUAAUAUCCCAUCGCGGUGCUCUUCAUCGAGUGUCGAGGUGGGCCGGUACGUUUACUUUGAACAAAUUAGAGUGCUCAAAGCAGGCUAUGUUCGCCUGAAUAUUCGUGCAUGGAAUAAUGGAAUAGGACCUCGGUUCUAU
rnacentral:rRNA from 1 species